rnacentral:rRNA from 1 species
GACGAACGCUGGCGGCGUGCUUAACACAUGCAAGUCGAACGGAGAGGCCCUGCUUUUUUUGGGUGCUCUGGUGGCGAACCGGUGAGUAACACGACAGCAACCUGCCCUUGACUUUUGUUUAACUUCAGGAAACUGGGGCUUAUAUCGUAUAGGAUCUCCUGCUGCAUGGUGGGGGUUGGACAGGUUCGGCGGUUGUGUAUGGACUCGGGGCGUCUCAGCCUGUUGGUGGGGUAGUGGCUUACCAAGGCUUUGACGGGUAGCCGGCCUGACGGGGUGACCGGCCACAUUGGGACUGAGACGCGGCGCAGAAUCCUACGGGAGGCAGCAGUGGGGAAUAGUGUAAAACGGGCGGAAGCCGGAUGCAGCAACGGCGCGCGCGGGAUGACGGCCUUCGGGUUGUAAACCGGGUUCGCCUGGGACGAAGGGUGAGUGACGGUAAUGGGUAAAGAAGCACCGGCUAACUACGUG